rnacentral:rRNA from 1 species
UACAGAGGUCUCAAGCGUUAUUCGGAAUCAUUGGGCGUAAAGCGCGCGCAGGCGGAUCAGCAAGUCAGGUGUGAAAUCUCGGGGCUCAACCCCGAAACUGCGCCUGAAACUGCUAGUCUAGAAUGUCGGAGGGGGCAGGGGAAUUUCACGUGUAGGGGUAAAAUCCGUAGAGAUGUGAAGGAACACCGGAGGCGAAGGCGCCUGCCUGGACGACUAUUGACGCUGAGGCGCGAAAGCGUGGGGAGCAAACAGG